rnacentral:rRNA from 1 species
GGGCUGCUCCUAGUACGAGAGGACCGGAGUGGACGAACCUCUGGUGUUCCGGUUGUCACGCCAGUGGCAUUGCCGGGUAGCUAUGUUCGGAAGAGAUAACCGCUGAAAGCAUCUAAGCGGGAAACUGGCCUCAAGAUGAGAUCUCACUGGGAUCUUGAAUCCCCUAAAGGGCCGUCGAAGACUACGACGUUGAUAGGUUGGGUGUGUAAGCGCUGUGAGGCGUUGAGCUAACCAAUACUAAUUGCCCGUGAGGCUUGACCAUAUAACACCCAAGCAAUU